rnacentral:rRNA from 1 species
CGAACGCUGGCGGCGUGCCUAAUACAUGCAAGUCGAACGGUUUAGUUCCAAGAGGCUUGCCUUUUGGGACUAGACAGUGGCGGACGGGUGAGUAACACGUAGGCAACCUACCUGUCAAACCGGGAUAACCUCGGGAAACCGAAGCUAAACCCGGAUAAGCUCCUUUUUCGCAUGAAGGGGGAGUGAAAAGGUGCGACCUGAUGACAGAUGGGCCUGCGGCGCAUUAGCUAGUAGGUAGGGUAACGGCCUACCUAGGCGAUGAUGCGUAGCCGACCUGAGAGGGCGUACGGCCACACUGGGACUGAGAUACGGCCCAGACUCCUACGGGAGGCAGCAGUAGGGAAUCUUCGGCAAUGGGCGAAAGCCUGACCGAGCAACGCCGCGUGAGUGAGGAAGGCCUUCGGGUUGUAAAACUCUGUUGUUUGGGAAGAAGGGAAAGGGUAGGACCCUUAGGUGACGGUACCAAACGAGAAAGCCCCGGCUAACUAC